rnacentral:rRNA from 1 species
UACGGGGGGGGCAAGCGUUGUUCGGAAUUACUGGGCGUAAAGGGCUUGUAGGUGGCCAACUAAGUCAGACGUGAAAUCCCUCGGCUUAACCGGGGAACUGCGUCUGAUACUGGAUGGCUUGAAUCCGGGAGAGGGAUGCGGAAUUCCAGGUGUAGCGGUGAAAUGCGUAGAUAUCUGGAGGAACACCGGUGGCGAAGGCGGCAUCCUGGACCAACACUGACGCUGAGUGAGCGAAAGCCAGGGGAGCAAACGGG